rnacentral:sRNA from 1 species
UGAGUUUAUUUAAAUGGUUCUGGUUCUUCAAUCACUCUUUCGGAGUAACCAGUGUCAAGUUCAUUGCCACAAGAGUUCGCUCUGCCCCAAAACUCUGUCCAAAAUCGGCGCCACACACAUCUGGUUCAAAUUAAGAGAUUCCAUCCGAAAGUUUCAAAAGCAGCUGACAAGAGAGUCAAUUGAACUUUGCCUAUAUUAUAUGUGCUUGGAAUGAACUUUGCCAUUGUCUAGACAAAUUAAGAGCAGCGGCGACCGAAUAAAAUUUAUGUAUGUCGCCCGCAGGCGUUGCGGUGAAUAGUGUUUAAUUGUUGGCUUUGGGGCCACGCGGCGUAUACGCAAUGUUGUCCAGUGCCACUUGUUCGGUUUUUUUUGUUGUACAUACGAGUAUGUGAUAAGCGUCGUCAGUUUGUCUGGCAAUGAGAUGGCAGCUGGUAGCUGGUGUUGCGCUAUUCUGGGUGUGAUGUCAUAAGUCAACAGAAGAGGAAUCUAUGCUAUAUGGCGAUCGGUUCGGAGAUCGUUAAUUAAAAUUUCCAGCGAGUACUUCAUUAGCAUCGUCGUCAGCUGCCACGCGUUGCUCAGCUGCCGCGCUCCAAUGCUUAAUUAAUAAAUCAACGCGACACUUGCACUCCAUCUUGGCGAUGGCCGUAUCUGCUGCCCCGAUGAUGAUGGUGAUGCUGCUGUUGAUGAUGAUGAUGAUCAUGGUGAUGGUGAGGAUGAGAUGCUCGCCGAGAUUGUUGCCAUGCCGGGCCAGACAAAUUGACGCGACAUUCCACGCCUGUGGGAGGGGAGUUGCUGCUGGUGGUCAGUGGCUAAUAGAAAUGUUAAAUAUAGCUGCCGCCGAUGAUGAUGACAUCUGUGCCAUCAAACCGGAAACGGAAACGAUUCUAAUCGCCAGCCACGGAUCUGCUAGUGGGCCCUUCGUGUCCACCAGUGGGCAGCUCAGCUCUUAAUUGGAGGCAGGCACUUCCUGGUCUUUAAUCACAGAAGCAAGCUCUUGUAAUCUUAUACAUAUUUUACAAAUUUUGAAAUGCCUUACAAUUUCCCGUUUAAUAAAAAGUUAAAGUCUAGCACACUUUUUAGAGGUAUAUAGCUAAAGGAGCUACUUCACAAAUAUAAGUAGAAAGUAUUCUACAGCAAAACAUAUCACUUGUGUCUUAGGAAAAUUCAUCACGGAGACAAUUGACUUUUGUGCGCAGUAGGUAGAUAUAUCAGAUUUGUCAUAGCAUUUUUUCAAAGGAAUCAGAACUUAGUCAUCUCAGAAGGCGUGCACUGCAAAACGUAGUUAAUAACAAACCCAAUCGAGCAAAAAUAGCACAAGAGAGCGACUGGCGAAUGUGAUUAUUUAAUAAUUGUUGCAUAUGCGCGGCAAAAUAAUUAUACUACUUAUACAUAUGUGCUGGUGUUCCACGCGAAGUAAACAAUAAGAAGCGUUGAUAGAAGCGGGCAAAACAAUCACAAUUAGAGAAAUAUGCAGUCAAAGUGUUAGCAAGGAAGUAAAAAUCGCUGAAAUUGCAACUGGGCGCGCGUCGCGUUUUAGUUUUUCAGUAUGUCUAAAAAUAAAGCGAAGCAAAUAAAUUUACAUUUUUAAUUGCAAUUAUCGCUGGCUAUUGUUGUAGUUGCUCGCUGGCUACUGUUUGCCUUUGGCGUUACGAACAAUUAAGAUGAUUUAUUAGCAGCGCAUUUUUAUGAG